GAUUCUGGCUCAGGAUGAACGCUAGCUACAGGCUUAACACAUGCAAGUCGAGGGGCAGCAUGGGGUAGCAAUACUCAGAUGGCGACCGGCGCACGGGUGAGUAACACGUAUCCAACCUGCCGCUUACUCGGGGAUAGCCUUUCGAAAGAAAGAUUAAUACCCGAUGGUAUAAAGAGUUCGCAUGUUCUCUUUAUUAAAGAAUUUCGGUAAGCGAUGGGGAUGCGUUCCAUUAGAUAGUUGGCGGGGUAACGGCCCACCAAGUCUACGAUGGAUAGGGGUUCUGAGAGGAAGGUCCCCCACAUUGGAACUGAGACACGGUCCAAACUCCUACGGGAGGCAGCAGUGAGGAAUAUUGGUCAAUGGACGAGAGUCUGAACCAGCCAAAGUAGCGUGAAGGAUGACUGCCCUAUGGGUUGUAAACUUCUUUUAUAAGGGAAUAAAGUGAGGGACGUGUCCCUUUUUGUAUGUACCUUAUGAAUAAGGAUCGGCUAACUCCGUGCCAGCCGCCGC
rnacentral:rRNA from 1 species